rnacentral:lncRNA from 1 species
AAAAAAAAAAAAGGGUAAAAGAAAUUCAAUUUUGAUGGGCCACCCAAGAAGAACCAAAAGUGAAAGACUUGGAAAAUUGACUCAAUUUCUCUGACUAAGGAAGUCAAAAAAGGAGAGUUAUUAAGAGAUUCAUUGGUGAGAAUUUCUAAGAAAAUUUGGUGAUCAGAGAUGAAAUGUCUUCUUCUCUGUCAAUGAAGCAGAGGAAGCUUGUCCGUUUUAUCCCUAAAGAAGAGACAGUACAAGAAUCUUUGAAUCAGAAGCUGCAGAGAUAAGUAACAUAAGCCAAGAAACAAAAGUAGAUGAAGAAAAAAAAUAUAGAAGCUGGUAAAGGGUACAGCUAUAUAUUAAGAGAAAAAUGACAAGAGUUUUUGUGGGGAUUUUGGAGAUUGCAAAGAAGUUUAGGAAACGAGUUUGUGAGAUUGAAAUGAUAAAAAAUGGAGAAAAAGAGGAAGAGAAAGAGAAAUAGAAAGAGUUAACUUGGGAAUAUUUCAAGAGCUAACUUCAAUGAGAGGCAAAGAAAAUCUGCCCACUAAAUCUUGCUUUCUAUUUUCUUUUUCUUUUCUUCCGUUAAGAAAAUGGUAAAGGAAAUUUGAGAAAUUGAAAAAGUAGUGAUGAGCAUAAUUUGUGGGAGUUGGGGAUUAAGACAAAAAUAUUCCUGGGGAUUUGCUAAAAAAAGAUGUGAGCACAGUUGUCUGCAGAAUUGGUAAAAUAUAUUGGUGAGGGAAUUUUGCUUUGGUUUUUAGACAAGUCUAGAAGAGAUAAACCUCUCAACAGAUAAUUGACAUUUUCUGGUAACCAUCUCAACAACCCGAAAAAUCUUUAGCAUC